ACGAACGCUGGCGGCAUGCCUAACACAUGCAAGUCGAACGGGAUCCUGGCUUCGGCCAGGUGAGAGUGGCGGACGGGUGAGUAACGCGUGGGAACCUGCCCAGUGGUGGGGGAUAACUGCGGGAAACUGCAGCUAAUACCGCAUGAGCCCCGAGGGCAACCUUGGGGGAAAGAUUUAUCGCCAUUGGAGGGGCCCGCGUUCGAUUAGGUAGUUGGUGAGGUAAUGGCUCACCAAGCCUGCGAUCGAUAGCUGGUCUGAGAGGAUGAUCAGCCACACUGGGACUGAGAUACGGCCCAGACUCCUACGGGAGGCAGCAGUGGGGAAUAUUGGACAAUGGGGGCAACCCUGAUCCAGCAAUGCCGCGUGAGUGAUGAAGGCCUUCGGGUUGUAAAGCUCUUUUGGCGGGGACGAUGAUGACGGUACCCGCAGAAUAAGCCCCGGCUAACUUCGU
rnacentral:rRNA from 1 species